UACGUAGGCAGCGAGCGUUGUUCGGAUUUACUGGGCGUAAAGGGCGCGUAGGCGGUGCGAUAAGUCAGGCGUGAAAGCCCCGGGCUCAACCCGGGAAUAGCGCUUGAUACUGUUGCGCUUGAAUCCAGGAGAGGAUGGCGGAAUUCCCGGUGUAGCGGUGAAAUGCGCAGAUAUCGGGAGGAACACCGGUGGCGAAGGCGGUUCUCUGGGCCUUACCUGACGCUGAGGAGCGAAAGCGUGGGGAGCGAACAGG
rnacentral:rRNA from 1 species